AUUGAACGCUGGCGGCAGGCUUAACACAUGCAAGUCGAGCGGAGAUGAGGUGCUUGCACCUUAUCUUAGCGGCGGACGGGUGAGUAAUGCUUAGGAAUCUGCCUAUUAGUGGGGGACAACAUUCCGAAAGGAAUGCUAAUACCGCAUACGUCCUACGGGAGAAAGCAGGGGAUCUUCGGACCUUGCGCUAAUAGAUGAGCCUAAGUCGGAUUAGCUAGUUGGUGGGGUAAAGGCCUACCAAGGCGACGAUCUGUAGCGGGUCUGAGAGGAUGAGCCGCAACACUGGGACUGGGACACGGCCCGGACUCCUACGGGAGGCAGCAGUGGGGAAUAUUGGACAAUGGGGGGAACCCUGAUCCAGCCAUGCCGCGUGUGUGAAGAAGGCCUUAUGGUUGUAAAGCACUUUAAGCGAGGAGGAGGCUACUGAGACUAAUACUCUUGGAUAGUGGACGUUACUCGCAGAAUAAGCACCGGCCAACUCUGUGCCAGCCGCCGCAGUAAAAC
rnacentral:rRNA from 1 species